CCCCCAUCCCCAACUGGCAACGUGCCACCAUCCCGCCCUCAACCGGCGACCGGAGACGCCGCCCCGCCCCGCCACCGGCCGCCGCCGUUCCCGCCGCAUCAUCUACCGCGCCGCUGCCGCCCCGCCACCGACCGCUGUCGCCGCCGCCCACCAUCGACCGCCGUUGCCGCCCCGUCCCCAACAGGAGACGCUGCCGCCGCCGAAGACCCGCUACACCGCGCCACCUACGGAGGCCCUGUUUUCUGUGCCGUCGCGCCUCCAAUGGCCAGGAUCCGCGCCGCCACGCCUCCAUUGGCCUGGAUCCGCACCGCCGCGCACCGAAACAGGGCCCGUCCACCUCUGCCGCAACAGUCUACCCUCCCGCAGCUGGGGGCGCGUGUGAUGGCUGCCAUCGGUGGCAGCGUGCCCAGAUGCCUCCCUCCCCCACGGUGCAGCAAGCUCGAGGCCGUCACCAGACUCCCACCUGGUCGUGGACAUCUCCCCUCCUGCCGCUGCACGGGCUCCACCAUGGACGCCCCCACUCCUCCACCCCCCGAGAUUUCUGCACCUACAUACGGCCGUGAUCUGCUGCCCACCCGUGGUUGCGUCGAGCAACAUCUUGUGCUCGCCAACGCGUGAGGUGCUGCUGCCUGCUAGUGCUACAAGCACGCGAGUUACGUACCCUACCUCUCUCUCGGAUCAGUGCAACAAGGAGCCUCGUACUUUGAUGAUGAAUUAGUUGUACACGAGCGUGUUGUCCAUGAGUACGUUGGUGCAGAUCUCAUGUGCUUUUGUAUGCACGUGUGAUGAUGAAUUGGUUGAGCAUUGCACCCAUGCAAAUAUAUGUGUUUCUAUCUACUUUGAGAAAUUCGUAUGAUACUGGAGAAGAAAG
rnacentral:rRNA from 1 species